ensembl:lncRNA
UGCACGAUGGCAGCCUUCCUUGUGCUCACUUUGAGUGAAAGCAUGAUUUUCCUUGCUUAUUUAAGAAAAAUAUGCUUGCAAAUCUGUGUACCAUUUCAGAAAUGAGUCUAAAGGGAUUUCAUCCAUCAAACGGAACAAUAUAAUGACUUUUGAUCUCUACUAAAGUGGUGAGAGAAUGGAAAUAAGAAAAAAAAAGAAGGAAAAAAAGCAGUAGAGAAGAGUGGAGUCUGCCAGCAGAGGAAACCUGGCAGAAGGGCCCCUUGGAAUGCUUUGAGGAGAAAGCAGCCACAGAAUGCAAAGCUCUGGUGCCCAUAGCUAUCCUUUUGAUGUUUUCAG